GUCUUGGGGCUGAAGCAAUCUGAACCUAUUCUCAAACUUUAAAUGGGUAAGAAGCCUGGCUC
rnacentral:rRNA from 1 species